UCGAACGGACACUUGGGGCUUGCUCUAAGUGUUAGUGGCGGACGGCUGAGUAACGCGUAGGUGACCUGCCCCGAAGUGGGGAAUAACUGCCCGAAAGGGUGGCUAAUACCGCAUGUGGUGGUGUGUUCAUUCACACCAGUAAAGCCGCAAGGCGCUUCGGGAGGGGCCUGCGUCCGAUUAGCUCGUUGGUGGGGUAACGGCUCACCAAGGCGACGAUCGGUAGGUGGUCUGAGAGGACGAUCACCCAGACUGGGACUGAGACACGGCCCAGACUCCUACGGGAGGCAGCAGUCGGGAAUUUUGCGCAAUGGACGAAAGUCUGACGCAGCAACGCCGCGUGAGGGAUGAAGGCCUUCGGGUUGUAAACCUCUUUUAUCAGGGAAGAUAAUGACGGUACCUGAUGAAUAAGUCACGGCUAACUACGUGCCAGCAGCCGCG
rnacentral:rRNA from 1 species